UACGGAGGAUCCGAGCGUUAUCCGGAUUUAUUGGGUUUAAAGGGUGCGUAGGCGGCUUUUUAAGUCAGCGGUGAAAUUUUGCAGCUUAGCUGUAACAGUGCCGUUGAUACUGGGGAGCUAGGAUUUGGUUGCUGUGGGUGGAAUGUGUGGUGUAGCGGUGAAAUGCUUAGAGAUCACACAGAAUAUCGAUUGCGAAGGCAGCUCACAAAGCCAAGAUUGACGCUGAGGCACGAAAGUGUGGGGAUCAAACAGGAUUA
rnacentral:rRNA from 1 species